UCUGCUUUUACAUUGUGCAAUAAAUCAAAAUUUCUAAUUUUAUUUCAAAAUUACUAAAACUCUAGUUAAAUUAUAUAAACCAUGAGUUCUAAUUAUGAGUUGUAUUUAAAAGAGCAGAAGAAGAAUUUAUUAAUUUAAAAGAAGAAAAGGGACGAAAUAAGAAGAAGAAAAGAAAAAACAAAAGUAGAAGGAACGUAAUAAGAAAAAAAUAGAAAAGAUGUGCCAAAACAAUGAAGAAGAAAAAAAGAAAAAUAAAAUAAAAUAAAAUAAUUUUAAAUUUUAUCAACGAUUCAAAAUGUUAAUACGAUUCAAAAUUUAAAGAAUUCCCAAUUUAUCUAUUAAUUAACUAACAACUCACAUGAUCUCCUCUCUCUCUCUCUAUAUAUUUUUUUUAGAUAGGAUCCUAAUAAGGGUGAUUCUAUACAUAACCCCCAUUUUACUCAGCCCCCAUUUUAAUAAAAUAAUAAAAACA
rnacentral:lncRNA from 1 species